AUUGAACGCUGGCGGCAGGCUUAACACCUGCAAGUCGAACGAGUGGCGGACGGGUGAGUAAUGCUUGUGAACCUAGCUUAUGGAGGGGUAUCACUACGGGAAACUGUAUCUAAUACCGCGUACCAUAGUCUGCGCCCAAGGGGGAUUAGGUAGUUUGUGAGGUAAAGGCUCACCAAGCCGACGAUCUCUAGCUGGUCUGAUAGGAUGACCAGCCACACUGGGACGGAGACACGGCCCAGACUCCUACGGGAGGCAGCAGUGGGGAAUAGUGCGCAAUGGGGGCAACCUGACGCAGCCAUGCCGCGUGAAUGAAGAAGGCCUUCGGGUUGUAAAGUACUUUCAGUCGGGAGGCGUUACCGACAGAAGAAGCACCGGCUAACUCCGUGCCAGCAGCCGCGGUAAUUC
rnacentral:rRNA from 1 species